CUUCGUUGGUUACCAUAGCAACGUUCACGCAAACUGGUCAAUCGGCCCUUGUUGGUCAGUCAGCUUUGCACAACAGUGCCACAAUUGCAAUUUGACAGCAUCAUUUUGUCCACAACUCUUUUGGUUAAAGGCAGUGCUACACCUGGCUACCUACCCAACCCUGCAACUUUGAGAAGUCCAGUAUUGUCUUUCUCCUUCCUAACAUACCAUUCUGCAGAAAGUGUCCUACGUCUUGUGUUGGGAGAAUGCACUGCCUUGUGUACAGAACAUACAAUAUGUUACAAAGAGAGUGGAGGCUAGAGGCUUAAAACCACUAGUUUGAUACACUAUUCAUACACUCUGCUAG
rnacentral:lncRNA from 1 species